rnacentral:lncRNA from 1 species
AUAGUGAUUCCCUUUCAGAGCUUUCUCGGGCCCAUAACAAGCGCAGGCAGCUAUUCAAAUGCAAGUUGCGUCCCCAAUUGCGCCGCUGGCCUGAGCUAAAGGAGCAGCUCCUCACUGUUCGAGACGAGACCAGCGUUGGGGUUCUGGGUCACCUCUUUUCUCCCGGCUUUUCCCUUGCUCUCUGGUUCCUGAAUUAGCUGUUUGUUUAUGGCUCCAGACGUGUGUGUGCCAGCGAGCCGAGGCAACGCGCGAGGGAGGGAAUUGAUCUUUCCCCAGACUCAAAGCUGGAGCCGAAGAAGUGCGGGGGAUUUGGGGGUUCUGAGUGGGACUCAGACCCUGGGUGCUGAGGGGAAGCCCGUGGGCUCUCUGGCCCGCUUCUCUAACCUCAGCGACCUUGCAGGAAUCCUCAGGCCUGAGAGCGCCCAGGCUCUGGGCUUUGCAGAAAGUGGCGGCGGCUGUGUCCCGGGUUUUAAAAUCUACGCAAAGAAAGGAGGCAAAGCUGAAAGCUUGUCGCGUGUCAGAAGCAACCUGCCGUGAAAUCCGCUAAUGCGCCCCGACUCGCCCUUCGCGCCUGCAAACGGAAAGAGCAAGAACACGGGAAGGACAGAGGCAACACCCCCAAAAAGCCCAGGCUGGUCUUCACAGACGUCCAACGUCGAACUCUACAUGCAAUAUUCAAGGAAAAUAAGCGUCCGUCCAAAGAAUUACAAAUCACCAUCUCCCAGCAGCUGGGGUUGGAGCUGAGCACUGUCAGCAACUUCUUCAUGAAUGCCAGGAGGAGGAGUCUGGACAAGUGGCAAGACGAGGGCAGCUCCAACUCAGGCAGUUCAUCAUCCUCAUCAAGCACUUGUACCAAAGCAUGAAGGCAGAAGAACCACGGACUAGAACCUCGGUGGAAAAGCUUUAAAUUAAAUUAAAAAAAAAAAAAGUUUUUAAAGACCAGGACCUCAAGAUAGCAGGUUUAUACUUAGAAAUAUUUGAAGAAAAACAAGUGGUAUUUAUAGUCCAAAGAAACCAAAGACUGAAGCUCACCUGCAUUCUGACUUUGUUCAGAGACACAUACUUCAGCGGGGCAAGACCCGGCAGGAAAGAUGAUGGGCAAAACAUCGGAUCUCACGCCUUCAACCCCUGCACCUCACUGUGCUUGGCUGCUCAGUGGCUCUAAGCACAGUAAUGUUUGAGCCAUCGAGUGGACAUCCUUUAAGAUCAGACAUUCUUAUCUGUUCCACCACACCACAAAGGUGUGCAGUGUUUCAAUAUCACGUGUGGGUGUGGAUGUGUGUGUGUACACACACACAUCUACACACACGCAACAACAACAGUGGUUAGGGACUCAGGCAGGGCUGGUCUUCAGGAAGGGUUGCACCAUAGGAGUGUGACCAACCCGGUGUGGGAUUUCUAAGUUCAUUGGAUCUGAGAUGUGAUUUCUCUCAUCUAGCCUAGCGUUUGAACCUGCCAGGCCCACAACCUAAAUGCAGAUUCAAACCCAGCAGAGAAAAUUUGAAUGGCACCUAAACCAGUGCACUCUCUUUGUUUGUUAAGAAAUGUUCAGAUAUUUUUUAAAAGAAAAAUGAAACAAGAGUCCAUCCAUUAAAAAAAAAAAUCACCUAGGUACCAAAGAACACACAGUAUUAUAGUGCAGGUAUUUUAUUGCAAUGAUUUUAAUAACCAAAGCUAUUUUUACACAAGAUACUAUGUAAAGUUAUACUUAUGAACUGAUCUAGCUGUAAUCCACAUGCCACAUAGAUUCAGGACUAUUAUUUAUGACUCUUGAAAGCAUUUGAAAUAUGAAUUUUCAGAACUGGCAAGGAAGACGGUGGCUUCAGGGAAGCAGUUACCAUCCCAACAGAGAGUCUGACACGAUGCAUGUGGGACCCCAUAAAUGCCGCUUACACACAGAAAAGACUUAAUAAUCUACUCACAGCCGAGAAGAUGUGAGGACCCUUUCAGAGUAGGGCCCUGUAUAAACACUAGAAAACUAAGCUUAACACAAAGAUAAUUAAAUAACGAAAAUUGUCCAGAGUGAUCCCCCCAUUAAAAAAAAAAAAACUUAGACUAAUUUUGCUUAAAUUUACUCUCUGUACUUUGGCACCAAAUGUCAUUUAAAAAUCCUUCCCAAACACUAAUGAAGCAAGCAUACCGAUAUUAAUCACAGUUUGUUAUCCCUUAUUUCAUAACCAUCCUAAAAAGCAAUUAAACUGACUUAUUGGCCAUUUCAGGCAUUUUACAGUGUAGAUGUUAGGAAAUCAGCAGUUGCCACUGAGAAACAGCAGAAUGGUAGAACCACAUAGAAGCCAGAGAUCUGGUCUCACCUAAGACACUUCGUCCUUUCAGAAUUAAAGGACUCAUUUCACUAAGCAUAGCUUACAAAGCAAGGCACAUUCCUUCUUGCUGUCAACGAACCUGGUCAUUUUAUCACAUGGUUUCUACUCUCUGACAGGGCUAGGUUAGCAAUGAGUUCCAAGCUUCCUAAUCAAAAUUUUAAAUUUUGACUUUUUCCAAGUCAUUUAACGGGGGAUGAACAGACCAAGGCAGGAAAGGAAAACAAAGUUCUAGCAAUCAUUUGACUCCCAGAAACACUCUGUCUGAACUCAGUUGAACUUCAACCGAUAUGAACGGACACCUGCUUAAACAGGGAGGUCAAGAAGGGGGGACCCUCAGUUAAUAUGAGAUAACAGCAAAAGCAAUAUUGACAGUAAGUUCUUCACUGAGAGUCACUAAAAUGCUA